CUAUUCGGGGUGGAUUAGUGGCGAACGGGUGAGUAACACGUGGGCAAUCUGCCCUUCACUCUGGGACAAGCCCUGGAAACGGGGUCUAAUACCGGAUAACACUCUGUCCCGCAUGGGACGGGGUUAAAAGCUCCGGCGGUGAAGGAUGAGCCCGCGGCCUAUCAGCUUGUUGGUGGGGGUAAUGGCCUACCAAGGCGACGACGGGGUAGCCCGCCUGAGAGGGCGACCGGCCACACUGGGACUGAGACACGGCCCAGACUCCUACGGGAGGCAGCAGGGGGGAAUAUUGCACAGGGGGAAAAACGGGCUGAUGCAGCGACGCCGCGUGAGGGAUGACGGCCUUCGGGUUUGAAACCCUCUUUCAGCAGGGAAGAAGCGAAAGUGACGGUACCUGCAGAAGAAGCGCCGGCUAACUACGUGCCAGCAGCCGCGGUAAUACGUAGGGCGCAAGCGUUGUCCGGAAUUAUUGGGCGUAAAGAGCUCGUAGGCGGCUUGUCACGUCGGAUG
rnacentral:rRNA from 1 species